rnacentral:lncRNA from 1 species
GCAGAUCACAAGGUCAGGAGAUCGAGACCAUCCUGGCUAACACAGUGAAACCCCGUCUCUACUAAAAAUACAAAAAAAAAUUAGCCAGGCAUGGUGGCAGGCGCCUGUAGUCCCAGCUGGAGGCUGAGGCAGAAUGGUGUGAACCCGGGGGGCGGAGCUUGCAGUGAGCCGAGAUCGCGCCACUGCACUCCAACCUGGGCGACAGAGUGAGACUCCGUCUCAAAAAAAAGUGGUGCUGGACAUGCAGUCCCACUCACUAGACAUUUUGGAGCAUUACGUGGAAAUGCCCAUCCAGCGGUUGGAGAGGUAGGGUAGGAUCUGAAGAUCUCAAGCCUCGGAAGCACAGAUUUAGGAGUCACUGACUUAGAGGUGGUAGUUUCAAGUGACGUGAUGGUUAAGUUCACCAAGAGAAAAAGUUUAGAAAGAAAAAGAGCUGAGCCUUCUGCCCUAUUUUUUAGAAGAGGGUUUCUGAGAGCCUGGGUAUUCAAAUGAUAAGAUGGGUGUGUGGUGCAGGGACAAGACUUCAGUCAGAGGACCCAGGGUCUCUGCUUUAGCACCAUCUUGCUGUGUG